rnacentral:rRNA from 1 species
AUUGAACGCUGGCGGCAUGCUUUACACAUGCAAGUCGAACGGCAGCGCGGGCUUCGGCCUGGCGGCGAGUGGCGAACGGGUGAGUAAUACAUCGGAACGUGCCCAGUAGUGGGGGAUAGCUCGGCGAAAGCCGGAUUAAUACCGCAUACGACCUGAGGGUGAAAGCGGGGGAUCUUCGGACCUCGCGCUAUUGGAGCGGCCGAUGGCAGAGUAGCUAGUUGGUGGGGUAAAGGCCUACCAAGGCGACGAUCUGUAGCUGGUCUGAGAGGACGACCAGCCACACUGGGACUGAGACACGGCCCAGACUCCUACGGGAGGCAGCAGUGGGGAAUUUUGGACAAUGGGCGAAAGCCUGAUCCAGCAAUGCCGCGUGUGUGAUGAAGGCCUUCGGGUUGUAAAGCACUUUUGGCGGGAACGAAAAGGACUGUGCCAAUACCACGGUUCGAUGACGGUACCCGAAGAAUAAGCACCGGCUAACUACGUG